CGUUUAAAUAUAAUUACUAGACGGAAAGCAGCACGCGCGGAAACCAUUACACGAAUGGGAUUAGGCUCCGCCUCUUUUGGAUCAUUUGAAGACAAAAUAAGCACCCGAGGCGGCUUUUUGAUUGGAUAUGAGCCUCAUGAAUAUGUAUUUUAUCGAUAGUAUCGUUUAAGAAACCGGAUAAUAUAUUUGACCUCAUUGCGUCACUUUAAUUAUGCAGAUUUAUGCACGACGCUACUACACUCGCACAAACUGAGAAGAUUUAGUUCAUUGAGAAUGGAUUGAAACUGAAGAAGAGCUGGAAGGAGUUAGCUGAUGAGUAGACAUUACAACAUUUUUUAUAGUUGCAAGAUGACGCAGAAAGUCCCAUCCAGGAUGAUGCUUCGCUACAGUGGAUGAUGAAGCCAUGCUGGUCUACAAACUCAGGAGAGGAACAAAGAACAGAUAUUGACGGGAUCAUAUCUAGAGAUGCAGGCCUACUACACUUCAUACGAGCAAGUGUGCUAUUAAAUAUACAUACUUGGGUUAUCAUUACAGCCCUUUCUUCUGAAAACUAGGCUACAACUUUAUUGAUGGAUGCAGAAAACAUCUACAUGGGACUACGUCUUAAAGAUGCCACCCUCAUAUGAGGACAGUAGAGAUGGGUUUAAACUUGAAUAUUUAUGAUGCUAUUUAUUUAUUAUUUGUAUUAUUUGUUUGUAGAAUACCACAUUUACAAAAAGCUAAUGAAUUUAUCAUCUUGUCAACUUUCACAUAAUUAAAGAUGACUAAUCAUCAAGGAAUAAACAUUAACAUUUUAACAAUGUCAACUACCAUUUUAUAGCCGGAUGAAACUUAGGGCUGGGCAGAAAGAAAUUUCCUUGAAAUUUGAGUGAUAAAGAUCUAUCAGUCUAUAUCAAAGAUUGAAUUAAUCAAUGAUAUUUUAAUUAUAAUUGUACAUGUUGAAGUUCAUUUACCUCAGUCUAUGGACUUUUUCAAGUAUUGUGUGUAAGAAGGUUUGAAAGACAACCCUCUAAAUGCACUAAAUAUGGAAACUGCUAAUCAUCAUUUUGCCUUUUGUAUCCAAACUGCUAAUUUUGAUAGAAUCAUUUUUUGAUACUUCCUAGUUUAAAAAAACAGGGGGGGGAGGGCUUGUUAUCCUCUUCAUGGUGCUGUUUCUACAUGGACCAUGUAACAGGUUGCAAAAGUGUAAACAAUAUUAUAUUUGUUAUAUGUUUAUAUUAAAAGGAUUUAGAAAAUGAAAAAGUUUUGAAUUAUAGAAUUACUGUUGGUAGAAGUAAUGGCAGUAUUGAUGUGUAAGGGAAGGGGGUAGUUUUCCAAGUGAAAUUAACGGUAUACCAAUGUCAAAUUAAUAAAAAAAAAA